CUUUAUUACUGAAUGAAAACUGGAGCAGUGUUUCAAAGCACACCUUAGAAAACUCCUCUCUCAAUCGAAUAUCUAUUUCUGCUUCUGUAAAUGAAGAUGACUGAGAGUGUAUGGAGCCUUUAUUGAGCAUAGUCAUUAUCUGACCAACAAAUUCCUUAGGAAUAAAAUUGGCAUAUGGCAGUAUCUCCGUACUAAUAAGCUGCACCACCUCAACAUCAAUACUCUCAUUCUUCUGAAAUUCUUGGAUUGAGAGAUUAUCAGGAGGUGCACUUUUAGUGAAUAAAAAGUCCUCAAAUGUAUUGGCUAACUCUGGCCACAUGCUGUCAAAUUUUCCAGAAGAUGCAUGCUGCCUUGCAACUGGAAGUCCAAUAGAAAGUACUUUGAGAAGAGAGGAAACAGCGAGCUUCCAUGUGCUUUCAGAAGGACAGGAGUAUUUCAGACUCAGUGGUAUUCUCAGUGUCUUAAUAAUGUUCUGAAGAACUUUCUCAUUCACAACAGCUUUAUGGCAAGCUGUUUUUUG
rnacentral:lncRNA from 1 species